GAUGAACGCUGGCGGCGUGCCUAAUACAUGCAAGUCGAGCGAACAGAUGAGGAGCUUGCUCCUCUGACGUUAGCGGCGGACGGGUGAGUAACACGUGGAUAACCUACCUAUAAGACUGGGAUAACUUCGGGAAACCGGAGCUAAUUCCGGAUAAUAUAUUGAACCGCAUGGUUCAAUAGUGAAAGACGGUUUUGCUGUCACUUAUAGAUGGAUCCGCGCCGCAUUAGCUAGUUGGUAAGGUAACGGCUUACCAAGGCAACGAUGCGUAGCCGACCUGAGAGGGUGAUCGGCCACACUGGAACUGAGACACGGUCCAGACUCCUACGGGAGGCAGCAGUAGGGAAUCUUCCGCAAUGGGCGAAAGCCUGACGGAGCAACGCCGCGUGAGUGAUGAAGGUCUUCGGAUCGUAAAACUCUGUUAUUAGGGAAGAACAAAUGUGUAAGUAACUAUGCACGUCUUGACGGUACCUAAUCAGAAAGCCACGGCUAACUACGUG
rnacentral:rRNA from 1 species